AAUGAACGUUGGCGGCGUGGAUUAGGCAUGCGAGUCGAGCGAGAACCGUAGCAAUACGGGGACAGCGGCGAAAGGGACAGUAACGGGUAGAUUAUCUGCCCUCAGGUUUGGGAUAGCUGCGGGAAACUGCAAGUAAUACCAAAUAAUAUCUCCGGAUCAAAGGUGUGAUUCCGCCUGAGGAUGAGUCUGCCUCCUAUUAGCUAGUUGGUGGGGUAACGGCCUACCAAGGCGUUGAUGGGUAGCGGGUGUGAGAGCACGACCCGCGUCAUUGGGACUAAGACACUGCCCAGACACCUACGGGUGGCUGCAGUCGAGAAUCUUCGGCAAUGGACGCAAGUCUGACCGGGCGACGCCGCGUGUGGGAUGAAGGCCUUCGGGUUGUAAACCACUGUCAGAGGGGAUGAAAUGCAGGUGGGUUCUCCCAUCUGUUUGACAUAGCCUCAGAGGAAGUACGGGCUAAGUUCGUGCCAGCAGCCGCCGUAA
rnacentral:rRNA from 1 species